AAGAAUGGACCUCCAGAAUGAAUUAAGUUCUUAAUCCGAGGUACCACUGUAUAUAUAUUUACAGUGGUACCUCUGGUUACAAACUUAAUUCAUUCUGGAG